UGACGCUCUGGGGGAAGCAGUGACUUGGUGGCCUUUUGCUCACCUUGUGUGAAGAGCAGUUUUGAAGCAAUGGUCUUUGUUCUCUCAGCAGCCUCAUCGCUGAUGACUAACAGUUCCUGAUGGGUGAAGCAUAAAGUGGACUGCCUUUUUUUUUUUUUUUUUUCAAGAAUUUUUUUCGCUGGCAAGGCUUGACGUCGGAUUUUUCACUUCUGGAAACCUGCUUCCUAGCACCCUUGUAGCACCCUUGUCAGAAUUUGCAAUGUGACUCAUAUCGACCUCAACAGAAACCAAUGAGAUCUCAGCACUGGCGUUUCAGGGAGUGGGGAGUACGUAUUCCGAGCGAGCAGGGAGGAUGAACGAGGCUUUCUCAGACAAGUUUGUUUGCAGAGAGAAUGGGUGAUGUAACCUGGCUGUUUCUCCCAUGAGGUAUCUUAAUUACAGAGACCCACAGAAAAUGUGAACUUGAGUUAUGAAAGCAGUAGAGUUCAGCAUUUGAAAAGCUAUUACUGAAAUCGCAUUGGUCCCAGGGGUAUCACCUGCUUCCCUCUGUGGGAGCUGGGGUGUCUGCUCCGCUUCUGCUCAGCGCUGGUCUCACUGCACUUCUUCGGCAGUUUGCCCAGGAUUUAUCUUUUUGUGGAAGUCUGAGGAAGGUUUACUUCGGUAACAGGAUCAGGGACUUCUGUCCCUUUUUGGUUAUUGCGUUCCAUGUAGCUUUUGAGGGCUGUAACUAAGAAGUGGAAGAUGAAUCUGAAUGGUGGAAAACCCCUCUCGCUGAAAAUGGUGCUUAAAAAAAAAAAGGAAAAAAAAGAAGAAGAAAAAUGAUCUGAAGCAAACUUCCUCUGCUAACUGUCUCCUGCCUGUCGGGAAAGGAGAGAUUGGCAAUUCAUCGCCCACUCCUCGGAAGAGUCUGGCAGCGUGUUUGCUGAAAAUAUAAAGUCAAAUGUAAGAGCUGCAAUCCCUGCAAUGCCCCCGAUUUAUAUUUAUGGCUAAAAGGGGUUUUGCCAGUCGCUUUGUGCAGCAGGGAAAUGUGCUGCAAACGACCGAGUCUUGUUUUCCACCGAGACCAGCGGACGCUUUGGUUAGCAGAGGGCUGUGAGCUGGGCUGCGGUGGGAAGACUGGUGUCCCAUGGCCAAACCAGUGCUCACUGUGUGUGCCGGGAUCGGGGCAGAGCCGUACGGGGUGGGGCUUGAUAACAGGAUAAACCUCUGGAAAAAUUAA